GAUGAACGCUGGCGGCGUGCCUAACACAUGCAAGUCGAGCGAUUCUCUUCGGAGAAGAGCGGCGGACGGGUGAGUAACGCGUGGGUAACCUGCCCUGUACACACGGAUAACAUACCGAAAGGUAUGCUAAUACGAGAUGAUAUAUAAAAGUUGCAUGACUUUCAUAUCAAAGCUUUUGCGGUACAGGAUGGACCCGCGUCUGAUUAGCUAGUUGGUAAGGUAACGGCUUACCAAGGCGACGAUCAGUAGCCGACCUGAGAGGGUGAUCGGCCACACUGGAACUGGGACACGGUCCAGACUCCUACGGGAGGCAGCAGUGGGGAAUAUUGCACAAUGGGCGAAAGCCUGAUGCAGCAACGCCGCGUGAGCGAUGAAGGCCUUCGGGUCGUAAAGCUCUGUCCUCAAGGAAGAUAAUGACGGUACUUGAGGAGGAAGCCCCGGCUAACUACGUGCCAGCAGCCGCGGUAAGAC
rnacentral:rRNA from 1 species